AAUGACUCUCGGCAACGGAUAUCUCGGCUCUCGCAUCGAUGAAGAACGUAGCGAAAUGCGAUACUUGGUGUGAAUUGCAGAAUCCCGUGAACCAUCGAGUCUUUGAACGCAAGUUGCGCCUGAAGCCAUUAGGUUGAGGGCACGUCUGGCUGGGUGUCACACAAUG
rnacentral:rRNA from 1 species